GUGCUAUAUUGUGCCCUGUGUGAGCCCUGUACAUUGUUUCCUCCAGUCUUUUCAGUUGGUCCUUUCCCGGCUCCAGGGGAUUUCCUUAGCCCAGACAGGACUCAGCGGAAUAUGAGAGGUAAUCAAGUAGAAAGUAUGAGCUUCAUCUGUGGAUUGCAGUCUGCUGUUAGAAACCAUGUUUUCUUCCGGUUUAAUUCACUGGCUAACUGGAGAAAAUGUAACACGUUAGCAUCAACCUCAGAGGGCUGUCAUCAAGUAGUAAAUAAGUCUCAGGGACUGGGAGUAAAUCAGUGUGAUAGGUGGACUUUGCUGCCCGGAAACUUUCAUUUUUAUAGGACUUUUAACAACAAAAAAACAGGAUGCCUCUCAAGUACCAAAAGUAAGGAAAUUUGGAUGAAUGCCAGCAAAUAUACUGUAUGGAAGGACUCUUUUUCAAGACAGCUAUUAAUAAAAAAAGUUAGAGCAGUUCCUAGUCUGUUAGUAUUGCAUCCUCUAAGCCCUUCUCCUGUAAGAGCCAUUAGGAAUUUCCACACCUCUCCGCGGUUUCAAGCUGCUCCGGUUCCUCUCUUGUUGAUGAUUCUUAAACCAGUGCAGAAGUUACUUGCAAUCAUUGUAGGCAGGGGCAUAAGGAAAUGGUGGCAGGCACUUCCUCCUAACAAGAAGGAACUAUUUAAAGAAAGUAUAAGGAAGAAUAAAUGGAAGCUAGUCCUUGGUUUGAGUAGUUUUGGAUUGCUCUUUGUGGUAUUUUAUUUUACUCACCUGGAAGUAAGUCCAAUCACAGGAAGAAGCAGGCUGCUAUUAUUGGGGAAAGAGCAGUUCAGACUUUUAUCAGAACUGGAAUAUGAAGCAUGGAUGGAAGAAUUUAAAAAUCAUAUGCUGACUGAGAAAGAUGCCCGAUACCUGGCUGUUAAAGAAGUGCUUUGUCAUCUAAUUGAAUCCAAUAAAGAUGUUCCAGGGAUCUCUCAGAUCAAUUGGACUGUUCAUGUGGUUGAUUCCCCAGUUAUUAAUGCCUUUGUGCUUCCAAAUGGACAAAUGUUUGUUUUCACUGGAUUUUUAAAUAGUGUAACCGAUAUUCAUCAACUUUCUUUCCUUCUGGGCCAUGAAAUAGCACAUGCAGUACUUGGGCAUGCUGCAGAAAAGGCUGGCAUGGUUCAUUUAUUGGAUUUCCUAGGUAUGAUUUUCCUCACGAUGAUUUGGGCCAUUUGUCCUCGAGAUAGUUUGGCCCUUUUGGGCCAGUGGAUACAGUCUAAAUUGCAAGAGUAUAUGUUUAAUAGACCAUACAGCAGAAAAUUGGAGGCUGAAGCUGACAAAAUUGGACUAUUGCUUGCUGCAAAGGCUUGUGUGGACAUAAGGGCCAGUUCAGUGUUUUGGCAGCAAAUGGAGUUUGUCGAUAGCCUGCAUGGCCAACCCAAGAUGCCAGAAUGGUUAUCUACACACCCUUCUCAUGGCAAUCGAGUUGAGCACUUGGAUAGACUUAUACCUCAGUCUUUCUCAGAUGUUCCCUGGUGAUGUCAAGAUGGCUGCCAGCACUCCCAGGAUUGCAUGCUUUCCCAUCCAGCUCGAUGAGUGACUGACUCACACCCCAACUAUUGAAACAAAGCCUUUAACACUAAUUGCACCCCUGAAGCCAUUGCCAUGGCAGGGGAUGGCAUUAUUUUGAUUGGCUUGGACCUGUCCGGAUCCAACACUGGAGCUGAGGAUGGGUACGACUCAACACCACCCAAACAGAACGGCUACUGCGCGGUGGGAGAGAUGCGACCACUGGGCUUAAUGAAAUAGAGGAUGCAUGAAUGAAAGAAGGUCCACCAGGAAGAAUGUGUCUGCUUCCUCUCUGCUCAUAUACCGUGUAACGGCCAUGGAGGGACAUCACUCAGAUCACUCUUCAAGAGAGCCCUCUGUGGCAUGCAUAACUGACAAAUGCUCCAGCUGCCACACCUUCAGAUCCACAGUAACUGGGUAUGUCAGGGGCACUAAAGCUGGGCCAUUCCUUCUGCACUUGAGAUGGUGUCAUGGAUGACUGUUGCAUGAGGACUCCCUGUUGGCCUGGCCAGAAUAUUCUUAGAACUGCACUGUAGUCACAGCUCUUCCUACUUCCUUCUCCUUCCUUCCCACUCUCCUUUCUCAUGUGUCAGACCCACAUCAUGGUCUGAAGGCUCUUCCUAUCUCAUCCUGAGCCCCUCCUUUGCCAUGUACAAGAACUUCUCCAAUACAUCUCAUGCACAGCUAAUCCCAUCUUGGUGUCUACUUCCUGAAGAACACUAAUGGAAAGACACAGUGAUUCUGUUUCUCCAACCCACAUGUCUAUCACCUGGAAAACAGAUCAAUUCUGUGAUAUCAUCAUGCAACAGAAUACUAUAGAGCAGUGAAAAUGAAUGAAUCAGAGACAGAGGCAUCAACAUGGAUAUAUCUGAAAAACAUCAUGUUGAACAAACCCAAAGUGUUGCAGAGUGAUACAUACAGUAUGUAACAUUUAUAUAAAGUUUUAUAACUUGUCAAACAAUGUCAUAUGUAAUUUGUAGAUGAGUACAUAAAGCAUAAAAAUACACUAAGGGCCGGGGCAGUGGCUCGGGCCUG